UACGUAGGUGACAAGCGUUGUCCGGAUUUACUGGGCGUAAAGAGCGCGCAGGCGGUCUUUUAAGUUUGACGUGAAAGCUCCCGGCUUAACUGGGAGAGGUCGUUGAAUACUGGAAGACUUGAGGCAAUGAGAGGGGUGUAGAAUUCCCGGUGUAGUGGUGGAAUGCGUAGAUAUCGGGGGGAAUACCAGUGGCGAAAGCGGCACCCUAGCGUUAGCCUGACGCUCAUGUGCGAAAGCGUGGGGAGCGAACGGG
rnacentral:rRNA from 1 species